AUGCCAGCCGCCAGCGGUAUCCCCCGGGACAGGGCACGGCCCACGGGCGGCCCCGCCACACGCGCGGGGGCUGCGACGCCGCCGCCGCCACCGGCCGCCCACCAGCACCAACGGCGGGCGCCGGGCGCCCCCCAGCGGCGGCAGCGCCGCACUGCGCCCACCCGCCCCGGCACGGCACGGGCGGCGCCGAGCGGCCCCGCGGGGAAGAAGGAGGCGGUGGCGGGGGGGGACGAGACCGGCCGCGACCCCCCCCACACCGCCCUCAGCGGGGUCCCGUCUCCCCGCUGUGCCCGUCGGUGUCUGUCAGCCGCCGGCGGGGAGAGGCGUCCCCCGGCGCCGCCGUCCUGCCCGCCCCUGCCCAUCUCUCGGCGUUACGGCACGUCUAAAGCGGGGCCGGCGGGGCCGUUUGCCGGUAAAACGGCUUUCGUCAGGGACAAAUUAAUAAAACCAAAAAGCCCUUCGCCCGUCGAGGAAACCGGGCACCGGGAAGCGGCGGGGCGGCGGAGGAGCCGGAGUAUUGGAGAAUUGGUGGAUACUGAAUUCUUGGCCCACAGCUUGAAUAUAGAAAUUGCAAGUCUGAGAAAACAAAUCUGGAGCUGAAAAUACUUCCCUGCAGUCCUG
rnacentral:lncRNA from 1 species